UACGAAGGGGGCUAGCGUUGUUCGGAAUCACUGGGCGUAAAGCGCACGUAGGCGGAUCUUUAAGUCAGGGGUGAAAUCCUGGAGCUCAACUCCAGAACUGCCUUUGAUACUGGGGAUCUCGAGUCCGGAAGAGGUGAGUGGAACUCCGAGUGUAGAGGUGAAAUUCGUAGAUAUUCGGAAGAACACCAGUGGCGAAGGCGGCUCACUGGUCCGGUACUGACGCUGAGGUGCGAAAGCCAGGGGAGCAAACGGG
rnacentral:rRNA from 1 species